rnacentral:lncRNA from 1 species
ACCAAGCUUUGUAAUAAGAUUUUUAUCGGGGGAGAACACCCAACAGAAACACCCAUGAUUCACCAACUGGCGCACUGAAAGGGGAGAUUCAUGUCACCUUCAUCAGUCCUUUCUUUAAUCACUGGACACCAUUAAGGGAAAGACCCGCUCAGACGUGUCAUAAUAGGAUAAAUGCGGCUGCAGGACAAGGCCUGGUGAGAGCCACUACAGAGGAUCAUAGCCAUUGUUGGAAUUCUGAAAGGACGUGGGUGAAUAUCAAUCUGCCAAAUGAACAUUCACAUCUGUAUAUUAAUACUGAUUAUAUAUGAACUUGUUUGUUUGUAACUGGAAAGAACUUAGCUUCUAUUGUUUUUGACUGAAGGA